rnacentral:rRNA from 1 species
GUGGGGAAUUUUGGACAAUGGGCGCAAGCCUGAUCCAGCAAUGCCGCGUGCAGGAAGAAGGCCUUCGGGUUGUAAACUGCUUUUGUACGGAACGAAACGGUCCUGGUUAAUACCUGGGGCUAAUGACGGUACCGUAAGAAUAAGCACCGGCUAACUACGUGCCAGCAGCCGCGGUAAUACGUAGGGUGCGAGCGUUAAUCGGCAUUACUGGGCGUAAAGCGUGCGCAGGCGGUGCUGUAAGACAGGCGUGAAAUCCCCGGGCUCGACCUGGGAAUUGCGCUUGUGACUGCAGUGCUGGAGUACGGCAGAGGAGGAUGGAAUUCCGCGAGUAGCAGUGAAAUGCGUAGAUAUGCGGAGGAACACCGAUGGCGAAGGCAGUCCCCUGGGCCUGUACUGACGCUCAUGCACGAAAGCGUGGGGAGCAAACAGGAUUAGAUACCCGGGUAGUCC